GACGAACGCUGGCGGCGUGCUUAACACAUGCAAGUCGAACGGAAAGGCCCUGCUUGUAGGGUACUCGCGUGGCGAACGGGUGAGUAACACGCGGGUGAUCUGCCCCGUACUUUGGGAUAUGCCUGGGAAACUGGGUCUAUUAUCGCAUAGAAGCCAUCCUUCUUGUGAUGGUUGGAAAGUUUUUUUGGUGUAGGAUGAGCUCGCGGCCUUCCAGUCUGUUUGUGGGGUAAUGGGCUACCAAGGCGGCGAUGGGUAGCCGGCCUGAGGGGGUGGACGGCCACCAUGGGGCUUGGGUACGGCCCCGGCUCCUACGGGGAGCAAGAGUUGGGAAAUUUGCACAAUGGGGGGGAGGCUGGUGCAGGGACGGCGCGGGGGGGGUGGCGGGCUUCGGGUUGGUAACUCGUUUCGCUAGGGACGGAACUUUUUGUGACGGUACCUGGAAAAGAAGCACCGGCUAACUACGUG
rnacentral:rRNA from 1 species